ensembl:miRNA
AGGACUUAGCACACAUGUGAACACUGUAAGUUUACCUCCAUGUUCACAGUGGUUAAGUUCUG